rnacentral:rRNA from 1 species
GGACUACAAGGGUAUCUAAUCCUGUUUGCUCCCCACGCUUUCGCGCCUCAGCGUCAGUAUCGGACCAGGUCGCCGCCUUCGCCACCGGUGUUCUUCCCAAUAUCUACGAAUUUCACCUCUACACUGGGAAUUCCACGACCCUCUUCCGAACUCAAGCCUGCACGUAUUGAACGCAGCCCCCAGGUUAAGCCCAGGAAUUUCACGCCCAACUGUGCAAACCGCCUACGCGCCCUUUACGCCCAGUCAAUCCGAGCAACGCUAGCCCCCUUCGUAUUACCGCGGCUGCUGGCAC